rnacentral:rRNA from 1 species
AUUGAACGCUGGCGGCAGGCUUAACACAUGCAAGUCGAGCGGUAACAGAGAGAAGCUUGCUUCUCUGCUGACGAGCGGCGGACGGGUGAGUAAUGCCUAGGAAUCUGCCUAGUAGUGGGGGAUAACUUGCCAAAGGUAAGCUAAUACCGCAUACGUCCUACGGGAGAAAGGAGGGGACCUUCGGGCCUUUCGCUAUUAGAUGAGCCUAGGUCGGAUUAGUUAGUUGGUGAGGUAAUGGCUCACCAAGACCGCGAUCCGUAACUGGUCUGAGAGGAUGAACAGGCACGCUGGAACUGAGACACGGUCCAGACUCCUACGGGAGGCAGCAGUGGGGAAUAUUGGACAAUGGGGGGAGCCCUGAUCCAGCCAUGCCGCGUGUGUGAAGAAGGUCUUAGGAUUGUAAAGCACUUUAAGUUGGGAGGAAGAGCAGUUAACUAAUAUUUGACUGUUUUGACGUUACCGACAGAAUAAGCACCGGCUAACUUCGUGCCAGCCGCCGCCGUAA